AGGGAAAGAUGGAGGCAGGCCUAACACAUGCAAGUCGAACGGUAACAGGAAGAAGCUUGCUUCUUUGCUGACGAGUGGCGGACGGGUGAGUAAUGUCUGGGAAACUGCCUGAUGGAGGGGGAUAACUACUGGAAACGGUAGCUAAUACCGCAUAACGUCGCAAGACCAAAGAGGGGGACCUUCGGGCCUCUUGCCAUCGGAUGUGCCCAGAUGGGAUUAGCUAGUAGGUGGGGUAACGGCUCACCUAGGCGACGAUCCCUAGCUGGUCUGAGAGGAUGACCAGCCACAUUGGAACUGAGACACGGUCCAGACGCCUACGGGAGGCAGCAGUGGGGAAUAUUGCACAAUGGGCGCAAGCCUGAUGCAGCCAUGCCGCGUGUAUGAAGAAGGCCUUCGGGUUGUAAAGUACUUUCAGCGGGGAGGAAGGGAGUAAAGUUAAUACCUUUGCUCAUUGACGUUACCCGCAGAAGAAGCACCGGCUAACUCCGUG
rnacentral:rRNA from 1 species